GACACCUUAAAGAAGAUGAGGUAGAUAGGCCGGGAGUGUAAGUGCAGCAAUGUAUUGAGCUGACCGGUACUAAUAUGUCGAGGGCUUGACUUC
rnacentral:rRNA from 1 species